AUAGGGAGGCUCAAAAUUAAAUUCCAAGUAAAUAGGGAGAAAUUUCAUCUUUUUUUGACAAUCGACGGUGGCUCUAGUUGCUCCGGUACGGCGGCGGGUGGCGGCAGGCCUUCUUCUCCGGCACCUUGUUCUUCUUCUUCGAUAGGGGCUGGUGACUAGGGUUUGGGUUUCCAUAUGACGCGAGGUAUUUAUACCCAUCCCCUAAUCGAUCUGCACGUCUAUUUGUGCGACGUGGAGCGAGAAGGGUACGUGUGCAAAUCUGGACCGUUUAUCACAAUUGAUCUCGUUUGUCCAAUCACACCUAAAAAGAAAAUGAAUCUAAGUCAUUCACGUGCACGAGAUUGAACUUGGGCCAUCAAAUCGCUGGGCACGCAGAUCACCCGCGUGGCGCUGCCAUCAGCCUGUUUUGACACGCGGUGUACUCCAAUUCGUCGGGGCUGGUGACUGAGCCAUCCCAGGUGGCCAAAUUUUCUCUUUUUGCACUUUGACCCUCUAUUUUUAAUUUUUCUUUCAAAAACAUCUAUCGAACUCAAAUUUUCACCUUUUUUUCUCAAAAUUCUUUUCA
rnacentral:lncRNA from 1 species